AUUGAACGCUGGCGGCAGGCCUAACACAUGCAAGUCGAGCGGAUGAAGGGAGCUUGCUCCUGGAUUCAGCGGCGGACGGGUGAGUAAUGCCUAGGAAUCUGCCUGGUAGUGGGGGAUAACGUCCGGAAACGGGCGCUAAUACCGCAUACGUCCUGAGGGAGGAAGUGGGGGAUCUUCGGACCUCACGCUAUCAGAUGAGCCUAGGUCGGAUUAGCUAGUUGGUGGGGUAAAGGCCUACCAAGGCGACGAUCCGUAACUGGUCUGAGAGGAUGAUCAGUCACACUGGAACUGAGACACGGUCCAGACUCCUACGGGAGGCAGCAGUGGGGAAUAUUGGACAAUGGGCGAAAGCCUGAUCCAGCCAUGCCGCGUGUGUGAAGAAGGUCUUCGGAUUGUAAAGCACUUUAAGUUGGGAGGAAGGGCAGUAAGUUAAUACCUUGCUGUUUUGACGUUACCAACAGAAUAAGCACCGGCCAACUUCGUG
rnacentral:rRNA from 1 species